UACGUAGGCAGCAAGCGUUGUUCGGAGUUACUGGGCGUAAAGAGUGCGUAGGCGGUUUUUUAAGUUUGGUGUGAAAUCUCCCGGCUUAACUGGGAGGGUGCGCCGAAAACUGGAAGGCUCGAGGAUGGGAGAGGCAUGCGGAAUUCCUGGUGUAGCGGUGAAAUGCGUAGAUAUCAGGAGGAACACCUGCGGUGUAGACAGCAUGCUGGACCAUUUCUGACGCUGAGGCACUGAAAGCGUGGGUAGCAAACAGG
rnacentral:rRNA from 1 species